AAUUCACUCUGGGGUAGGCGGGGAGGAAUGUGCCUCUUGGCAUACGGGUACCCCUUCAAGACCCUCUGUAGUCACCACUCAAGUGAUGGAACAGCCAAGUACCAGUGGGGUAGGGAUACGAAGAACCGCCAGGACCACUGCAGGCCGACAUACUAAUCUUUAUCAUCUUCCUAGGUCGGUAGGGGGCGGGGCCUUAGGGGCUGUGAGUUCUUCUGGACCUGUGUCUCAUGCGGUAGGGGCUAUGUUUAGACCUUGGCAGUAACUCUGGGUUUGGUUGUAGCUGUCCAUCGUCGGGACGACGAUGCAAAAUCCUGGGGUAGAUUAUAAUGAGGUGGAGCUGGAGGGUGCGAUCUGGUUGGGGCAUGGUAAUUUCAUUAACCUGAUUGCUUAAUUGUUGCAGCCAGCACGCGUAUAUAGGACCCGGUUGUGGUUGCGUGUGUGUGACUGAUUUGUAAGCGUGACGUGACUCUCCGUGCGCCAGUAUCUCCUUUUCCGGAAGUUGUGGCUAUAUCCAACGCUGCAGUGGAUCGCGACUUGGAGUGUCCCGGACCGAUGUGAGCCAGACCAUCAACGGGAUACUAAGUCACUACAAUUGCUGCUGUUUUGCCCGGAUGUUUUAUGUUUUGUUUCAUGUUUUAAUUGGUUUUAAGUAUUAAUGUGUUUUAUUGAUUGAAUGUAAAUUGGGGGGGUGUCGUUGGGAAGGCUUGGUGCUGGGCGGUGAGGAUCCGUGUCGGGCGAUACCGCGCUGCGUGGUCGCGUUGCUUUCUUUUAGCCCACCCCUUGGGUGGAUGUACGUGCGUCAUGUACUGCGGGACCCCUCAGAGUGUUUGACUGUACGCCUCCCAUUCCCCUCCCGAUAACAGCUCCCUGGUUUGGGUUUUCUCUUUUGUCGUGUGAUUGGAGUGUUUUAAACAUGAUUUGAUUUGUAUUUGUGCUGUGAUUUUGGUUUUUUUGUGUUUUUAUUUAGAGUGUGAAUAGCCAACAGCCUAAUAAAGGGAGUGUUUAUGGUC